CGUGGAUGAGGGUGAUGAAGCAACAUUUUAUCCAGUUGUAAUCCUUGUGUUGUCAUGAGUGCGUAAGCGUGCUCAUAUUCCAAUUCGGAUGUCGUUUGACUAUCGAACGAAUUGUCGCAUAUUGUGCGUUAUCCGGGUUCAAUAGGUUCUGACCGUUGAAUCGUCUCCGAAUUAAAAUAUAUUAAUCUAGGCACUUUUAGAAACGUGUAGGAG
rnacentral:lncRNA from 1 species